rnacentral:rRNA from 1 species
AGGGAAGAGCCCAGCGCCGAAGCCGCCGUCCAGUUAUAGUGGGCGGAGGGCAAUGUGGCGUUAAGGAAAAGCCUCCUUGACCUGACGUUUCGUUGAUCGGACCGCGGAAGCCCGAGUCCCCCUGACCGGGGCCACAGCCCAUGGCGGGUGCAAGGCCUCUUCGGCUUCGUUCGACGGUUCGAAGGUUGCUGGCUUCUUUCCUCAGAGUCGGGUUGCUUGAGAGUGCAGCUCUAAGCGGGUGGUAAACUCCACCUAAGGCUAAAUAUCACCACGAGACCGAUAGCGAACAAGUACCGUGAGGGAAAGUUGCAAAGAACUUUGAAGAGAGAGUUCAAGAGUACGUGAAACCGCUCGGAGGCAAACGGGUGGGCCCUCGAAGGUCGAACGGGGGGAUUCAGCCUGUCGGUGUGUCACGGCGCUUCCUGAAUUUCAAACCGUUGAAAAAAAGCAUUCGUGCGAAAACGGAUCCGCGUAAAAAACGGACCGGGCGGUAGGUUUUCAAGCGUCGACCGGCUCGUGCACUUCCCCCUUAGUAGGACGCCGCGACCGGUCGGGUUAAUUAUAAAGUUUUGCGGCCAUGAGGCGAGAAAAAUCACGGGGGCAGGUGUCCGUUUCCGCGAGGCGUCUAUCGUGUCGGCCUUCCCUCUCGGGGGUUGUGUCGUCCUCCGGUUUGCGUCUCCGGUCGGAGUUAUAGCCCUCUCUCGACCCGUGCACCGCCACCCGACCGACAAAUGGUCACGAUUCCNNNNNNNNNNNNNNNNNNNNNNNNNNNNNNNNNNNNNNNNNNNNNNNNNNNNNNNNNNNNNNNNNNNNNNNNNNNNNNNNCGAUGGCGCAAUGAAAGUGAAGGCCGCCUCUCAGCAAUGAGGGGGCGCAACGGCCGAGGCGAGAUCCUGAAAAAGCCGACGCGGCGCAAGUCGCGCGCGGCGAAAUUUUUGAAAGAAACCGGACGUUGUAGGCACGGUUAACGGUAAAACGUUAGCCGGUCCGGAGGCGCAUCGCCGGCCCGUCUCGACCGCUCGAUUUUUUCCCCUCGGUUUUCAAACCCAAUGUCUCGGAAAGGUUCUCUCUCGUGGCCGGACUGCGCAAGCAGCUUCGCGUCCACGGGUCUCAGCCCUACGAGCUUGGGGGCGGCCGGGCGGGGCGAAAGAGAAUUUUGUCGGUGAGGCGGAGCAAGAGCACACACGUUGGGACCCGAAAGAUGGUGAACUAUGCCCGGGCAGGACGAAGCCAGAGGAAACUCUGGUGGAGGUCCGCAGCGAUUCUGACGUGCAAAUCGAUCGUCGGACCUGGGUAUAGGGGCGAAAGACUAAUCGAACCGUCUAGUAGCUGGUUCCCUCCGAAGUUUCCCUCAGGAUAGCUGGCGCUCGGGAAAAAUUUAUAAAAAUAAAGAAGGAAACAGUCUCAUCCGGUAAAGCGAAUGAUUAGAGGCAUUGGGGCCGAAACGGCCUCAACCUAUUCUCAAACUUUCAAUGGGUGAGAUGUCCGGCUUGCUUGAAAAAGUAAAAAAAAGGGAGGCGAGCGGGGUUUGUGGGGGGCCGCGGGGAGGAGGAGGUGCGCCGUUUCGCGUUUCGGCGCGGCUCGGAGGCAUUCUUUUUCUUUCUCGGUCUUCUCCCUUUCUCUUAGCGGACCUCUUUUGAAGCACGGACGUAGGAUGCGAGUGCCCAGUGGGCCACUUUUGGUAAGCAGAACUGGCGCUGUGGGAUGAACCAAAAGCCGGGUUACGGCGCCCGAUGCGGACGCUUAUCAGACCCCAUGAAAGGUGUUGGUUGCUAUUGACAGCAGGACGGUGGCCAUGGAAGUCGGAAUCCGCUAAGGAGUGUGUAACAACUCACCUGCCGAAGCAACUAGCCCUGAAAAUGGAUGGCGCUCCAGCGUCGAGCCUAACCCCGGCCGCCGGACGGCAUUGAAAAUGAACUGAUUAAACAAAAAAUCGAUGCCCCGGCGAGUAGGAGGGUCGCGGUGGUGAGCGUUGAAGGGAUCGGGCGCGAGCCUGCCUGGAGCCGCCACCGGUGCAGAUCUUGGUGGUAGUAGCAAAUACUCGAGUGAGAACCUUGAGGACUGAAGUGGAGAAGGGUUCCAUGUGAACAGCAGUUGAACAUGGGUCAGUCGGCCCUAAGGAAUAGGGGAAACCCGUUCUGAAAAGAAACCGGAAUGCAAAAAAUGAGAAAGUGAUGAAAAUGACCGGUGAUGACCGAAAGGGAAUCGGGUUAAUAUUCCCGAACCCGGAUGCGGAGAUCGACCCUCGCGGGUCUGAAGCGGUAACGCGCAACGAACUCGGAGAUUGCCGGCGGGGGCCCCGGGAAGAGUUUUCUUUUCUUUGUAAAGGACGGACUCCCUGGAAUCGGCUCGCCCGGAGAGAGGGAUGUUGUUCCUGUAAAGCACCGCGGCUCUUGCGGUGUCCGGAGCGCUCUCGUCGGCCCUUGAAAAUCCGAGGGAGUGAACGAAUGAUUUCCGCACCGGACCGUACCCAUAUCCGCAGCA